CUCAAUUCAUCUAAUAAGGCCUAAACCACCUUUAUCACAUUUGCUCAUCACGAGUUCAGUGCCAAUUCUGGGUACAGGUAGCCCUCUCUCUCUCCACAAAUGGUGUAGUAGUUCAGUAGUUGAUUGAAAUCCUUUUUGUAUACUCUUUUGUUUCCCCAAAUUGAUCUGCAAUUCCUAACUGUAGCAUUUUGUGAGCUCAUGAUUUGCUACAGGUCUGUCAAGCAUAUGUGAUAGAGAGCAUGCUGCAUGCAGCGAUUCCCAAUGAGGCAUCUCCAGCGAUUCCCAAUGAGGCAUCUCUGUGGGUGAUGAAUACAUUGAAUAGCAAAAGGAUAGAUGAUAACCUACAUCUAUUUCAUCACUGAGAUGAAUACAUUGAAUAGCAAAAGGAAAGCUGCUUCGCUUCGGUCUCAAGAGCGGGUUCGUCGUGCUGCUCCCGCUGGUUCGGUCGCCGUUGUCUGACUGCUCCUCCUGUCUGGAUUUGGUGGUCUGCUUGUGGGACGCCUUGCCCGUGCCGAACUUCUGCUGCAGGUUAUAAGGUGGCAGGACCUACAAGGCCUACAACACUAUUUUGUGAGGGUGUUGCAUAAUGAAGCACCACUCAGAACAAUGAUCCGAAACAUGGUUCGGAGAACAGCUCUGCAGCAACUUCACACACAAAGACUUAGAAACCAGCUUCCAGAUCUUUUUGGUUGUUUAUUUUGGCAACAAAACCUGAAUCAUAACGCUGCAGCAAACUGCCUGUGUUACACAAUUUCUCAACUGAGGAUACCGCUGCAGAAAAACAUUAGCUUUGUGUGUGUUUAGUUGACCAAAAUUGGUAUUGCACCUGCAAUUCACAAUAUGUCUGUUCUGUGGUACCACAUCUGGCCUCAUCAUAGCAGCUAUGCUUAUUGGAUGUGGCUAGGAACUUCUGAAUGAAAAUGUAUUGUAGUCACCGAACUGCAUGGUGCAUAUGAUCCUGUAAACUAAACCCGAAUCAUAUAUGCACAGGUAUUCCUUUUGAAAUAUAAUGAUCAUCUCUGCUGUUGUUUA